CCUACGGGAGGCAGCAGUGAGGAAUAUUGGUCAAUGGGCGCGAGCCUGAACCAGCCAAGUAGCGUGAAGGAUGACUGCCCUACGGGUUGUAAACUUCUUUUAUUCCGGACGAAACAAAUGACGGUACCGAAUGAAUAAGCCACGUCUAACAACGUGCCAGCAGCCGCGGUCAUACGUCGGGGGCCAGCGUUAUCCGGAUGAACUGGGUGGAAAGGGCAUGUAGGCGGGGGAGCAAGUCAGACGUGAAAUUCCAGGGCUCAAACCUGGAAAUGCAUUUGAUACUGUUUUUCUUGAGUGAUGGAGGGGCAGGCAGAAUUCCGUGUGUAGCGGUGAAAUGCGUAGAGAUGCGGAGGAACACCAGUGGCGAAGGCGGCCUGCUGGGCAUUAACUGACGCUGAGGCGCGAAAGCGUGGGGAGCAAACAGGAUUAGAUACCCGUGUAGUC
rnacentral:rRNA from 1 species